UUUUGUUUUCCGUUUCAUGUUUGACAGCCAAUGUUUUGUUCUAAAGACCUGCUUAGAGUUGGAAAACCAUUUAGUGUAGAGUGUCCCAGUAAAGCUGGGGUAUUCGUAUGAUGACCGACAACCUUGGCAAUGCAACCUAGGAGCCCAGGCAACCUACUUUCUUUUCACUCUGGUAUGUUCAUAUGGUUUAAAUUUGGUGACCUGGGAGGCUUGGAAUGGGCUAUUUGUUGAUUAAACCAUCCUUGAAACUAUCUGCAUCUGUUAAACCCUGCAAAUUAACCGGAAUACCCAUGUAGGCUUUGGACUCCAAGGAUUUGUAUGUGCAUCAUGAAAUAAGAUUUGGACACUGCUGGUAUCAAGCAGCUUCAUAUGUAAAAGGAUGAAGAUCAUUGGCACAAGCAGCUUCUUGUGGAAAUUUACAUGUCCUUAUUCUGCGACCGAAUGCACUGCGUAGCAAGUGCAGUCUUUCUGCCUUCCCUUGGAAUUCUCAAAGUGCGCCACCACACUCUCUGUACCACCCAGCAGGCUUUGAUUACUUGCAAAACCGUGAUACCACAGGAGUCCUCUAGUGUCUCACCAGAACAGCCAUUCAUUUUGAGAUGAGCUCGGCCAGCCACCUGUUUGAAGGCCAUGGUGACUAAGUAUAAUCCCAUCCUUGUCCAAUAUCCACAUCCAACAUUUUACUGUGUGAAUCACUUGACUGGAAAUCCUGAUAAUUUUCUCCCCUCUAGGAUUCUUACAAUUCUCAAUUGUAAAAACACAUGAAAAAAGCCGGUUAAUAUUUCAAAACUAUUCACCUCAAGGCGGGACUAAUUACUUGGAGAAAAUCAAAAAUCAUGGAUAAUAAUGGAUCGAAGAGAAAAAGCCAAACAAUCCUUUUCAACCAUGCUGACUGAUCCCCUUUUGGGUUGUUAUUUCUCCCCCUUAUUUCCAGAAUUUAUUUAAUUCUGUUAAUUGAUAUUCCUGGACCGAUGCUUCAGACCUCAUGGAGAGAACAAGGAUAUGAGGCCCAUUCGUUUUGAGAAUGUUGAAAUAAAGCACAUUCUUUCUGGAUUGAUAUUUCGAUAAUGCUGGACACAGAAUUUCCUUCUCCAUAUUGAUUUAAUAUUUUACUGGCCUGUAACCAAUACGUCCUGAACUUAGCCCAUUGUGUACUUGGGUCUCUUUCUCUUGUGGAAUGAGCUGAAAGCUUUAAAAAGAUACGAUCAUGGAAUUGAAUCGCAAGUUCUGGGUGGGAAACUGAGAGCAGCUGAAAUCAGAUCAGGCAUCUUCACUACCCUGGAACACAAUGCAAAAUUCAGGUACUUGGACAGCUAUUAAUUCUACAUUCAACAGGCCUCAGAACUUGCCCUACAUAUUUCAAAUAUACUUUUUGUGGGUGAAGAUAUGGAUAUUUCAUCAAACCCCGUCCUUAACUAGCUCUUAAAAUGUGGUUAGAUUUGUUGCUUCAGCGUUCACUACCAACCUGACGUGCAAAUGACAGCACAUUAAUGCUGGUUUAUGACGUAGUCGGAUGCCAGGAGAAUUUAUGAAUAACUAAAUGUACUUAUUCUUUUUUUUUCCUGUAAAAAUCAUGUUCUGGAAGUGGUUUAUUUGUGUAUUCGCUUGUUUCUCUUUUGUUAUUUCUCCAUUUUUGCAGUGUUCUGAGGUAAACACCAUUGAUGCUUGCACAUUCUUUACAUCUCAAUCCACU